rnacentral:tRNA from 1 species
AUUUAAAUAGCUUAAAAUUAAGAGUAUAAUUAAAAUUAAGAGUAUAAUAUUGAAGAUAUUAGGGUGAUAAAUUUAUCUUUAAAUA